UUUAAUUAAGAGUUUGAUCCUGGCUCAGGAUGAACGCUGGCGGCGUGCCUAACACAUGCAAGUCGAGCGAGAAGCUGAUGACAGAUACUUCGGUUGAAGGAGUCAGUGGAAAGCGGCGGACGGGUGAGUAACGCGUAGGCAACCUGCCCUUUGCACAGGGAUAGCCAUUGGAAACGAUGAUUAAAACCUGAUAACACCAUUUGGUUACAUGAGCAGAUGGUCAAAGAUUUAUCGGCAAAGGAUGGGCCUGCGUCUGAUUAGCUAGUUGGUAAGGUAACGGCUUACCAAGGCGACGAUCAGUAGCCGACCUGAGAGGGUGAACGGCCACAUUGGAACUGAGACACGGUCCAAACUCCUACGGGAGGCAGCAGUGGGGAAUAUUGCACAAUGGGCGAAAGCCUGAUGCAGCAACGCCGCGUGAAGGAAGAAGGCCUUCGGGUCGUAAACUUCUGUCCUU
rnacentral:rRNA from 1 species